AUUGAACGCUGGCGGCAUGCUUUACACAUGCAAGUCGAACGAGUGGCGCACGGGUGAGUAAUACAUCGGAACGUGUCCUAUCGUAGGGGAUAACUGAUCGAAAGAACAGCUAAUAACGCAUAGGAUUGGAGCGGCCGAUGCAGGAUUAGUUAGUGGGUGAGGUAAAGGCUCCACAAGGCGACGAUCGGGAGCUGUGCUGAGAGGACUACCAGCCACACUGGGACUGAUACACGGCCCAGACUCCUACGGGAGGCAGCAGUGGGGAAUCUUCCGCAAUGGACGAAAGUCUGACGGAGCAACGCCGCGGGAGUGAUGACGGCCUUCGGGUUGUAAAGCGCUGUUAAUCGGGACGCGGUACCGGAAUAGAAAGCCACGGCUAACUACGUGCCAGCAGCCGCGGUAAUUC
rnacentral:rRNA from 1 species